rnacentral:rRNA from 1 species
CCUACGGGGCGCAGCAGUGAGGAAUAUUGGUCAAUGGACGCAAGUCUGAACCAGCCAUGCCGCGUGCAGGAAGACGGCUCUAUGAGUUGUAAACUGCUUUUGUACGAGGGUAAACGCAGAUACGCGUAUCUGUCUGAAAGUAUCGUACGAAUAAGGAUCGGCUAACUUCGUGCCAGCAGCCGCGGUAAUACGGAGGAUUCAAGCGUUAUCCGGAUUUAUUGGGUUUAAAGGGUGCGUAGGCGGUCGGAUAAGUUAGAGGUGAAAUCCCGAGGCUCAACUUCGGAAUUGCAUCUGAUACUGUUCGGCUAGAGAGUAGAUGCGGUAGGCGGAAUGUAUGGUGUAGCGGUGGAAUGCGUAGAGAUCAUACAGAACACCGAUUGCGAAGGCAGCUUACCAAGCUACUUCUGACGUUGAGGCACGAAAGCGUGGGGAGCAAACAGGAUUAGAUACCCGGGUAGUC